AUCACAAUCUCCUUUAUUACAUAUCUAGUCACAGUAGCUCAAUAGACCCUCCUUCAGUUGGCUCAGGGCUGUGUCUGUCCCAUUUGCCUGUUUUAGCUUUGAAAUUAUGACAAAUGGCUUCUGUGAAGUUGACAUCAAAGCCGAAACAGUGGCAAAGGCUGAGACUGGGUGAUCUCUUUUGAAAGUAUCAGGUUCUGCAAAACUGAUGGGAAUAUAGUGGGGAUCUACAAAUCACUGCUAGCUAGUAUGUAUUACGCCAACAAGGAGUGCUGUGAUUUCAUAUAAUUGGUCCCAAACCAGUGAGUAAAUUUUUCAGUGUUGUGAAGGAGGAAAAUAUAAUGUGAGGACAAUAAAAAUAGUCCCAAGAGCAAUCACUAUCUCCAUAAAAAAUUCCUUCCAGUUUGAAAGCCUUACAUCAUUGUCCAUUCUCCUUUCAUCUGUGGCUAGUCAAUGUCACCUUCCACUUGCUCAGAAAAUCAGGCAGAAAAACGUUGUGUGAAAACAGUGGCUGAAAGAAUUCUCCUGUGCUGUAAAUCUUGGCUAAUGAAAGACGUCGUAUUCUUGGAGACUUGGAUACUGUUUGGCUGAGGCCUUUGCCCUGUUCUGUUAUGAUAGUUGCAGCUAAGCCAUGAUCCUGUCAGAAUUAAUCACAGAUAAUAAAAAAAUAAUAAUAAUAAUAAAAAAUCA
rnacentral:lncRNA from 1 species